GGGUUGUGAGGUUAAGCGAUUAAGCGUACACGGUGGAUGCCCUGGCAGUCAGAGGCGAUGAAGGGCGUGCUAAUCUGCGAUAAGCGCCGGUAAGGUGAUAUGAACCGUUAUAACCGGCGAUACCCGAAUGGGGAAACCCAGUGUGACUCGUCACACUAUCAUUAACUGAAUCCAUAGGUUAAUGAGGCGAACCGGGGGAACUGAAACAUCUAAGUACCCCGAGGAAAAGAAAUCAACCGAGAUUCCCCCAGUAGCGGCGAGCGAACGGGGAGGAGCCCAGAGCCUGAAUCAGCAUGUGUGUUAGUGGAAGCGUCUGGAAAGGCGCGCGAUACAGGGUGACAGCCCCGUACACAAAAGCGCAUGUGCUGUGAGCUCGAUGAGUAGGGCGGGACACGUGGUAUCCUGUCUGAAUAUGGGGGGACCAUCCUCCAAGGCUAAAUACUCCUGACUGACCGAUAGUGAACCAGUACCGUGAGGGAAAGGCGAAAAGAACCCCGGCGAGGGGAGUGAAAAAGAACCUGAAACCGUGUACGUACAAGCAGUGGGAGCACAGGUUUACCUGUGUGACUGCGUACCUUUUGUAUAAUGGGUCAGCGACUUAUAUUCUGUAGCAAGGUUAACCGUAUAGGGGAGCCGCAGGGAAACCGAGUCUUAACCGGGCGUUAAGUUGCAGGGUAUAGACCCGAAACCCGGUGAUCUAGCCAUGGGCAGGUUGAAGGUUGGGUAACACUAACUGGAGGACCGAACCGACUAAUGUUGAAAAAUUAGCGGAUGACCUGUGGCUGGGGGUGAAAGGCCAAUCAAACCGGGAGAUAGCUGGUUCUCCCCGAAAGCUAUUUAGGUAGCGCCUCGUGAAUUCAUCUCCGGGGGUAGAGCACUGUUUCGGCUAGGGGGUCAUCCCGACUUACCAACCCGAUGCAAACUGCGAAUACCGGAGAAUGUUAUCACGGGAGACACACGGCGGGUGCUAACGUCCGUCGUGAAGAGGGAAACAACCCAGACCGCCAGCUAAGGUCCCAAAGUCAUGGUUAAGUGGGAAACGAUGUGGGAAGGCCCAGACAGCCAGGAUGUUGGCUUAGAAGCAGCCAUCAUUUAAAGAAAGCGUAAUAGCUCACUGGUCGAGUCGGCCUGCGCGGAAGAUGUAACGGGGCUAAACCAUGCACCGAAGCUGCGGCAGCGAACGUAUCACUUAAAGCGAUUCAGCGGGUUACGAUUGACGGAGCGAAGCGACGUCAAAGCGUAUACAAAGUCGAGUCGGUUUAAGGAUACGUUCGUUGGGUAGGGGAGCGUUCUGUAAGCCUGUGAAGGUGGCCUGUGAGGGUUGCUGGAGGUAUCAGAAGUGCGAAUGCUGACAUAAGUAACGAUAAAGCGGGUGAAAAGCCCGCUCGCCGGAAGACCAAGGGUUCCUGUCCAACGUUAAUCGGGGCAGGGUGAGUCGACCCCUAAGGCGAGGCCGAAAGGCGUAGUCGAUGGGAAACGGGUUAAUAUUCCCGUACUUGGUGUUACUGCGAAGGGGGGACGGAGAAGGCUAUGUUGGCCGGGCGACGGUUGUCCCGGUUUAAGCGUGUAGGUGUGUGUUCCAGGUAAAUCCGGUUCACUUUAACACUGAGGCGUGACGACGAGGCACUACGGUGCUGAAGCAACAAAUGCCCUGCUUCCAGGAAAAGCCUCUAAGCAUCAGGUAACAUCAAAUCGUACCCCAAACCGACACAGGUGGUCAGGUAGAGAAUACCAAGGCGCUUGAGAGAACUCGGGUGAAGGAACUAGGCAAAAUGGUGCCGUAACUUCGGGAGAAGGCACGCUGACACGUAGGUGAAGUGAUUUACUCAUGGAGCUGAAGUCAGUCGAAGAUACCAGCUGGCUGCAACUGUUUAUUAAAAACACAGCACUGUGCAAACACGAAAGUGGACGUAUACGGUGUGACGCCUGCCCGGUGCCGGAAGGUUAAUUGAUGGGGUCAGCGCAAGCGAAGCUCCUGAUCGAAGCCCCGGUAAACGGCGGCCGUAACUAUAACGGUCCUAAGGUAGCGAAAUUCCUUGUCGGGUAAGUUCCGACCUGCACGAAUGGCGUAAUGAUGGCCAGGCUGUCUCCACCCGAGACUCAGUGAAAUUGAACUCGCUGUGAAGAUGCAGUGUACCCGCGGCAAGACGGAAAGACCCCGUGAACCUUUACUAUAGCUUGACACUGAACAUUGAGCCUUGAUGUGUAGGAUAGGUGGGAGGCUUUGAAGUGUGGACGCCAGUCUGCAUGGAGCCGACCUUGAAAUACCACCCUUUAAUGUUUGAUGUUCUAACGUGGACCCGUAAUCCGGGUUGCGGACAGUGUCUGGUGGGUAGUUUGACUGGGGCGGUCUCCUCCUAAAGAGUAACGGAGGAGCACGAAGGUUGGCUAAUCCUGGUCGGACAUCAGGAGGUUAGUGCAAUGGCAUAAGCCAGCUUGACUGCGAGCGUGACGGCGCGAGCAGGUGCGAAAGCAGGUCAUAGUGAUCCGGUGGUUCUGAAUGGAAGGGCCAUCGCUCAACGGAUAAAAGGUACUCCGGGGAUAACAGGCUGAUACCGCCCAAGAGUUCAUAUCGACGGCGGUGUUUGGCACCUCGAUGUCGGCUCAUCACAUCCUGGGGCUGAAGUAGGUCCCAAGGGUAUGGCUGUUCGCCAUUUAAAGUGGUACGCGAGCUGGGUUUAGAACGUCGUGAGACAGUUCGGUCCCUAUCUGCCGUGGGCGCUGGAGAACUGAGGGGGGCUGCUCCUAGUACGAGAGGACCGGAGUGGACGCAUCACUGGUGUUCGGGUUGUCAUGCCAAUGGCACUGCCCGGUAGCUAAAUGCGGAAGAGAUAAGUGCUGAAAGCAUCUAAGCACGAAACUUGCCCCGAGAUGAGUUCUCCCUGAGACUUAGAGUCUCCUGAAGGAACGUUGAAGACGACGACGUUGAUAGGCCGGGUGUGUAAGCGCAGCGAUGCGUUGAGCUAACCGGUACUAAUGAACCGUGAGGCUUAACCUUACAACGCCGAAG
rnacentral:rRNA from 1 species